GUGAGGAAUAUUGCGCAAUGGAGGCAACUCUGACGCAGCCAUGCCGCGUGCAGGAAGAAGGCGCUACGCGUUGUAAACUGCUUUUAACCGGGAAGAAACCCCAGGACGUGUCCUGGGUUGACGGUACCGGAGGAAUAAGCACCGGCUAACUUCGUGCCAGCAGCCGCGGUAAUACGAAGGGUGCAAGCGUUAUCCGUAUUCAUUGGGUUUAAAGGGUGCGUAGGCGGAGCGUUAAGUCAGUGGUGAAAUCCUGCAGCUUAACUGUAGACUUGCCAUUGAUACUGGCGCUCUUGAGUGCGCUUGAAGUGGGCGGAAUGUGCCGUGUAGCGGUGAAAUGCUUAGAUAUGGCACAGAACACCAAUUGCGAAGGCAGCUCACUAAGGCGAUACUGACGCUGAGGCACGAAAGCGUGGGGAUCGAACAGGAUUAGAAACCCCGGUAGUCC
rnacentral:rRNA from 1 species